GGAUGCUGUUCCCCCCUGCUUCACAAUCCUAAUAAGUGCAAACCUGGAAGUGUUGCCUAGAUCCCAGGUAUGGAUAAUUGUGUGUGUGUGUGUGUGUGUGUGUGUGUGUGUGUGUUACAGCAUCUUUUAUCUUACUUUUCCCCUUGUCCAGACAUGCUUUUUUUAUAUGCAGAUUCUCAGCUCCCCAUUUGAGGUAUGUCAAAGUACAUCAAUCUUUAUCGCUUUUCGACAAAUUCUGAAAGAACACCAGCCAUGGAUUGCAAAGUGUGGUUCAAACACAUACAACUGACCCAUAAUCCCCUCAACGUUGAAAUACACUGCCAUUGUGUUUUCAGAAGCUCUAAAUCCAUGGAUCAUCAAUGAGGUGGAUGGCACCAUUUCUUCAAAGAGUUUGCAAUCCAUUGUAUCACAGGAGGCAUUUAAAGAAACAAUGGAUUUCUCAACAUGGUGCAGCUUCAAUUGCAUACUAAACACCUUGGUCAGAGGUGUUCACACACACAAAAAAGAUGAACGAAUGCUAAGAAUAGGGCUGUGCCAUUUUUUUAACAGGGUUCAGUGUUGGGUG